rnacentral:rRNA from 1 species
GGGCCCGCACAAGCGGUGGAGCAUGUGGUUCAAUUCGACGCAACGCGAAGAACCUUACCCAGGCUUGAACAGCGAGUGACAAACUACGAAAGUGGUCUUCCGCAAGGACACUCGUAGAGGUGCUGCAUGGCUGUCGUCAGCUCGUGUCGUGAGAUGUUGGGUUAAGUCCCGCAACGAGCGCAACCCUUGUCUUCUGUUGCCAUCAGGUCAAGCUGGGCACUCUGGAGAGACUGCCGGUGAUAAACCGGAGGAAGGUGGGGAUGACGUCAAGUCAGCAUGGCCUUUAUGUCUGGGGCUACACACGUGCUACAAUGGCCGACACAAACCGUCGCAAAACCGCGAGGUGGAGCUAAUCGGAUAAAGUCGGUCUCAGUUCGGAUAGCAGGCUGCAACUCGCCUGCUUGAAGUUGGAAUCGCUAGUAAUCGCGGAUCAGCACGCCGCGGUGAAUACGUUCCCGGGCCUU